AGUGAACGCUGGCGGUAGGCCUAACACAUGCGAGUCGAACGGCAGCACAGUAAGAGCUUGCUCUUACGGGUGGCGAGUGGCGGACGGGUGAGGAAUACAUCGGAAUCUACUUUUUCGUGGGGGAUAACGUAGGGAAACUUACGCUAAUACCGCAUACGACCUACGGGUGAAAGCAGGGGAUCUUCGGACCUUGCGCGAUUGAAUGAGCCGAUGUCGGAUUAGCUAGUUGGCGGGGUAGAGGCCCACCAAGGCGACGAUCCGUAGCUGGUCUGAGAGGAUGAUCAGCCACACUGGAACUGAGACACGGUCCAGACUCCUACGGGAGGCAGCAGUGGGGAAUAUUGGACAAUGGGCGCAAGCCUGAUCCAGCCAUACCGCGUGGGUGAAGAAGGCCUUCGGGUUGUAAAGCCCUUUUGUUGGGAAAGAAAAGCAGCAGGUUAAUACCCCGCUGUUCUGACGGUACCCAAAGAAUAAGCACCGGCUAACUUCGUG
rnacentral:rRNA from 1 species